UACGGAGGAUCCAAGCGUUAUCCGGAUUUAUUGGGUUUAAAGGGUGCGUAGGCGGCCUGUUAAGUCGGGUGUGAAAGCCCUGGGCUCAACCCAGGAAGUGCACUCGAAGCUGGCGGGCUUGAAUAUGGAAGAGGGUCGCGGAAUUCCCGGUGUAGAGGUGAAAUUCGUAGAUAUCGGGAGGAACACCAGUGGCGAAGGCGGCGACCUGGGCCAAUAUUGACGCUGAGGUGCGAAAGCGUGGGGAGCAAACAGG
rnacentral:rRNA from 1 species